UUCGCCCCCUUUUCCCGUGUGUUAAACACUGACCUCUGUACUUCUGGAGUGUGUUCCCUGCCUGUAGAGAGCAUUUGAGGCUCUUGCAUUGGGAGAGAGGAAGGGAAGGGCCUUGCUGUACUCCGCCACCCUCCCCCCCUCAUCCCCGGGAGCUCCAGCCCCCGCACCCAUUUGUUAAUAGAAGUACUUUGUUGUGGCUUGUUUAUUUGAAGGCUUCUACCUGUUGGUGGAGAUGUUAGCGAACAGUGGAACAUUGAUGAAAUCCUCCCCAGCUGGCUAGGAGCGGAAGGGUAUUUUAAGGGAGCUCGGUCCUGGAAUGUAGCAGAGUCGGUGGUUGGAGAGGCCAUGAGCCAGCCGGAGCCCUCAGCAUCUGUUUGGCACCCAGUGACCUGGCUAUGAAUGCAGCGACAGGAGGCUUCAGCCCUGCCAGCAGGCUCUGCGAACGACUGGAGAGGCUUCCGGAGAUCAGCGGUGUAGGCUGAAAAUGAGAUCCAGCUUUUGAAACCUUGGUGGGUUCAUCCCUAGGAAGGCAGGGAGGCCCGUGAAAGGGACGCACACAGUGACUUUGUGAGGUUCUCCCCAGAGCUAUAUGUGUCUGUGGUAGCUCAACCUGGCUGACCUUUAUACCGGGGGCAUCAUAGCAUGCCACCCCCUUCAGAAUCGGGAAGCUGAAUUAGAGAGUGUGGGUGUAGUUAUCGGCACUGGCUCUGGGGGACUUGGGAGCAACCUCCACGUGGGCUGCUUGUGAGAGACCAUUGCUGGCACUGGUACUACUGAGGCUACUGAGUUCUACCCACGUUGGUCCCACACCAGGACCAGAGAGCUGCUGGUAUCAGGCCAUCUGAGUCAUCCAAGUCACUGACAUUGCCUUCUGUGCCUCCGUGUUUUCAUCUGCAAAAUAGGGGCAGUGACUCAGACUCUGUGUAAGAACUAGACGAGAGGAGGGGUCAGGGCGGGGUCCAAGUGGUAUCAGUGCAGGGUCCUUAAGAUGAGCAAAACAGGCCACACAUUCCAGUUGCUACUGCCCAUGCAUUCAUGCACCCUCUCUCGAUACUGUCUCUGUUUGAUUUCCCAUUCAGGUGCCACCCCAGCCUUGUAUCCCUAGACCUCCCGGGGUUACUGGCCCAUUCCUGUGCCAGGGAAAGUAGCCCAUGAGGAUGCUGUCUGUACCUCCAAGGGUGGGUGUGAUGGCAUUUUCAGUCUUCUGCCCUGGGCAGGGAGGAAACUUAGAUGGGGACGGUGGCCUCUGAUGGCUACUGUCCAGCAUGCAAACCAUAUAACCUGAUGGCUGUAUGCCAGAAGGGCUGGAGAGAGCAGCAUCCUGGGCCUGGCCUGGACUGAUUUAGACAUCCAGGAGACUAGGAACGCGAAGGAAAUGAAGGAAAUUUCCCCAGGGAAGGGAGAGACAAGAUAGAGGAGCUUAAGUGCCCAGAUAAUUACAAAGCAUGGCCUGAUGAUUUACUGCCAGGCGGACUGGCUCCUCUGACUGCCUCCACUGCCCGUCCUUCUGGGCCCCCCAUGCCCUAGAGACCAGUCGUGGAGAAGGGAAGGAAAGAGGCAGUGGGCACUGCCCAACACCCAGCCUCCACAUUGUCUCCCGGAGUUGAGCUCCAAGUUGGCUCUCACAGGAGGCACCGUGAAGGGGAGCAAGCUUCACUCAGUGCCGGGCUCAGACAUCUGGUAUCUGGGUGGCCUCAGAGAACUCCGACCUGACCCAGCCCCUUUCUACAGACCGAGGGAAAAGGGCUACGAGAUCAGACUCACAAACAGCAUCCUAGCCUGUACCUCUGUUCGCAGAUGCAGGGACCUGAGUGGGCAGCUAAAAAGGAGACCACUACCUAUCCCUUCCACCUGAACGAGGGCUCCCAUCUGUUCCCAGUUGAAGGCCAGUGUCCUUAGCGGAACACGUACUGCUGCGGUUUGUUCUGAGACAGGGUGUCACAGUGUAGCUCUAGCUAGCCUGGAAUUUGUUGACUUCACAGAGACCCACCUGCUUCUGCUCCUGGAGUACUGGGAUUAAAGGUGUGUGCCACCAUGCCCAAGUCUUGGCGGAACUCACGACUAGCCUUGUGUCUCCACAACCCUCUUUCAUUUUAUUAGGAUCCUGUGUCACCACCUCGAAGCCCUCCGAGCCCUGUACUCAACACCCAUACUAUGGACUUACAACCCUGGUGGUCCUUUCACCCCGGUGUCUACACUGGGAGAUCCUGGGGCAGGGUGGCUAUAACCACUCAUGGUCUUACAGUCUGGAUUAGGUGUGUUUGGGGGGAACAUUCCAAGAGUGAAGGAAGUGGACGGAAGUCCCCCAUGCCUCCAGGUACGGCACCUGACUGGGGCCUCUCUCAGGGACUUUUUUCCAGUGCCGUGAAACAGUGUUCUCUAGGGAUGAUCCACACGUGUGGAACUACAGCUCAAUAAAGGUGGUUUCCUAACUCUCA